AACGAUGCGCUCCUCCGCCAGCACACAGUGACACUUGCUGAGAGUUGUAGUUCCGCAAUAACUGGAGCAGCCUGUAAUGUUGCUUCGCGUCUCUUUAUUAUCCCAGGCAAAAGCACAGCCCUUUCAAACGUCAAUUUUAUAUUCAGUUUUGCUUUGUGGGACUAUUCCCUUCAAGCGCAUGGACAGUGCACGCUGCGCCCUCAUUACUAUGUAGAUCACCUGACCAGAAAUAUUGCAACUCUAACACGAACAGGAAGAAGUGUUGAAGCAGAAGACACAACUUUGUCCAGUAAUUGGCUCAUGUGACCUAACAACCCGAUGCUGCGAAAAGCCGAAAUCUGAAAAUCCGCCAUCUCAGACCUGCGGAGGUUGUGUAGAAGUCAAAGGCAGAGGUCCCUAUCCUAUUUGGAAGUUUCUGUGGUCUGCUCUGGAAUAAGCCUGAAAAUUCAAACAUUUCUGGCUUCUUGAUGAAAAAUACGAAAAAUUCUGGCUUUUCACACGAUUUUAUCGGGUUUUUAUCAGAACCGAUUGAACCAAGCUUUUUUAAUAAUAAAUAAGAUAAAAUUGGG